GGCGCUUCAUGCGCCGGCACACCCUCGGCCGAGGAAAGUCCGAACUCCACAGGGCAGGGUGCUGGGUAACUCCCAGGGGGCGCGAGCCCACGGAAAGUGCAACAGAGAGUAGACCGCCAGCGGGCGGUCGCUCGCGAGAGCGAGCGGCCUGCAGCGGGCAAGGGUGAAACGGUGCGGUAAGAGCGCACCAGCGGCUCCGGCGACGGGGCCGGCUCGGUAAACCCCACCUGGAGCAAGACCGCAUAGAGGGGAAGGAGUGUGUCCCGCUCCGCCAUCACCCCAGGGUCGGUCGCACCGAGGCGUCCGGUGACGGGCGCCCCAGACAAAUGAUCACCGCGGAGAAAUCCGACAGAAUUCGGCUUACGGGGGACUCGGCUU
rnacentral:RNase_P_RNA from 1 species